CAGCAGCCACGGGAAUACGAAGGGUGCAAGCGUUACUCGGAAUUACUGGGUUUAAAGGGUCCGUAGGCGGUCUUGUAAGUCAGUGGUGAAAGCCCAUCGCUCAACGGUGGAACGGCCAUUGAUACUGCAGGACUUGAAUUAUUGGGAAGUAACUAGAAUAUGUAGUGUAGCGGUGAAAUGCUUAGAGAUUACAUGGAAUACCAAUUGCGAAGGCAGGUUACUACCAAUUGAUUGACGCUGAUGGACGAAAGCGUGGGUAGCGAACAGGAUUAGAUACCCGCGUAGUCCCUGUCUCUUAUAC
rnacentral:rRNA from 1 species